rnacentral:misc_RNA from 1 species
UACGUAGGGCGCAAGCGUUAUCCGGAAUUAUUGGGCGAAAAGAGCUCGUAGGCGGUUUGUCGCGUCUGCCGGGAAAGUCCGGGGCUCAACGCCGGAUCUGCGGUGGGUACGGGCAGGCUAGAGGGAUGUAGGGGAGCCUGGUAUUCCUGGUGUAGCGGUGAAAUGCGCAGAUAUCAGGAGGAACACCGAUGGCGAAGGCAGGUCUCUGGGCAGUAACUGACGCUGAGGAGCGAAAGCAUGGGGAGCGAACAGG